ensembl:lncRNA
UGAGAGUGAAGUGCUCAAUUGGGGUGAUUUAGUAAGUUAAGAUUAGCCUGAUUAUUCAAGACCUUGAAAGUGAGGAGAAGGAUUUGAAUGUGAGAGACCUCAGGUGUUGUACCUGGAAGGGGAAUGAUUACUGGAGGGGUUACAGCUCACAAUGAUCUCAAUACCACAGGUACCACUUUGGACUUUCCACAUCUUUCCACAGCUUUGUAGGUAUCUAUAUUUGGAUGAUUCCUAAUCAAAAAGGGGGAAAUAAAGAACCACUAUGCAAACUAAAGAAAGCACAAACUUCCUGUUAAUUGGCUUCUACAUAUUAACAGUAAUUUUCAGAACUCGUAAUCUUUGCAAGUGCCCUAAGUCAGUCAUUUCAACACAAAGAGCACAGAAACCGUAUUACAGGAGGACUUUGGUUAAAACUAAUUUGUCAGUUUCCUGUAAAAAAAAAAAAAAAAACACACCAAAGAAACAAACUGUUUCAACAGAUUUGUGAUAAAAUCAAGAGAGCAGAUGAAGCUGACUGUGCAAAUGUGCUCCACUGACUCGUGCCUCUAUGACUUGUGUAUUGUACGUGACUCCAUUCACAUGAGAGCAGAGGAAAAUUUACCUCCACUUUUUUAGACUUCAGGAGGCGAUUACAGCUUCAGCUCCCAGUGUUCCCAGUUGUCUCUCUGUACCCCUAAAUUUCCCUAAAUGUUUUUUUUCUCCCUCUCAACUCUUACUAUUUACUCCUCAUCCUCUCCCGCGCCGAUGCAGGAGUGGGAGGUGUUGCUAGGCGACAGAUUCGCUCCUUCUUUUCAAGAAAAAGAGUGCAGACCUUGACUCUCUGGGUGUAAAAAUAAACAGAAAAAGAAAAGACGGACUUAGAGAGAAAAGGACAAGUAUCAUUCACCUCUGGCAUGAGAGCCACACUCUUUGUUUACCGUGAAAAUAUUUUCCAUACAACCCCCCCCCCCCCCCUCCCCGGAAGCUCCUCAUCUACAUCCUGAAGUGGUCCAAAAAUAACCCACUUAUUUAUAGCUGCAUUUACAUCUGAGAUAAAAGCAAGGCAUCUCUCAC